AAACCAUGUUGUGGGCAUGAAUUGACAAGAUCCUUGAACCGCUCUCAACAUUGGAGGAAUGUUUCAUCUUCCUUCUAGGCGAAGUUUGUGAUUGUUUUCUAAGGGU